AUUGAACGCUGGCGGCAUGCCUUACACAUGCAAGUCGAACGGUAACGCGGGGCAACCUGGCGACGAGUGGCGAACGGGUGAGUAAUGCAUCGGAACGUGCCCGGUAGUGGGGGAUAACUGCUCGAAAGAGCAGCUAAUACCGCAUACGACCUGAGGGUGAAAGGGGGGGAUCGCAGGACCUCUCGCUAUCGGAGCGGCCGAUGUCGGAUUAGCUAGUUGGUGGGGUAAAAGCCCACCAAGCCAACGAUCAGUAGCGGGUCUUAGAGGACGAUCCGCCACACUGGAACUGAGACACGGUCCAGACUCCUACGGGAGGCAGCAGUGGGGAAUCUUGGACAAUGGGCGAAAGCCUGAUCCAGCAAUGCCGCGUGCGUGAAGAAGGCCUUCGGGUUGUAAAGCGCUUUUGUCUGGGAGCAAAUCCUGGCCUCUAAUACAGGUCGGGGAUGAGAGUACCAGAAGAAUAAGGACCGGCUAACUACGUGCCAGCAGCCGCAGUAAUAC
rnacentral:rRNA from 1 species